rnacentral:rRNA from 1 species
CGAACGGACGAGAAGCUUGCUUCUCUGAUGUUAGCGGCGGACGGGUGAGUAACACGUGGAUAACCUACCUAUAAGACUGGGAUAACUUCGGGAAACCGGAGCUAAUACCGGAUAAUAUUUUGAACCGCAUGGUUCAAAAGUGAAAGACGGUCUUGCUGUCACUUAUAGAUGGAUCCGCGCUGCAUUAGCUAGUUGGUAAGGUAACGGCUUACCAAGGCAACGAUGCAUAGCCGACCUGAGAGGGUGAUCGGCCACACUGGAACUGAGACACGGUCCAGACUCCUACGGGAGGCAGCAGUAGGGAAUCUUCCGCAAUGGGCGAAAGCCUGACGGAGCAACGCCGCGUGAGUGAUGAAGGUCUUCGGAUCGUAAAACUCUGUUAUUAGGGAAGAACAUAUGUGUAAGUAACUGUGCACAUCUUGACGGUACCUAAUCAGAAAGCCACGGCUAACUACGUGCCAGCAGCCGCGGUAAUACGUAGGUGGCAAGCGUUAUCCGGAAUUAUUGGGCGUAAAGCGCGCGUAGGCGGUUUUUUAAGUCUGAUGUGAAAGCCCACGGCUCAACCGUGGAGGGUCAUUGGAAACUGGAAAACUUGAGUGCAGAAGAGGAAAGUGGAAUUCCAUGUGUAGCGGUGAAAUGCGCAGAGAUAUGGAGGAACACCAGUGGCGAAGGCGACUUUCUGGUCUGUAACUGACGCUGAUGUGCGAAAGCGUGGGGAUCAAACAGGAUUAGAUACCCUGGUAGUCCACGCCGUAAACGAUGAGUGCUAAGUGUUAGGGGGUUUCCGCCCCUUAGUGCUGCAGCUAACGCAUUAAGCACUCCGCCUGGGGAGUAC